rnacentral:rRNA from 1 species
AGAAUCAACGCUGGCGGCGUGCCUAACACAUGCAAGUCGAACGAGAAAGGGGUAGCAAUACCCUGAGUAAAGUGGCGCACGGGUGAGUAACACGUGACUAACCUACCCUUGAGUGGGGGAUAACUGAGGGAAACCUUAGCUAAUACCGCAUAAUACCCACGGGUCAAAGGAGCAAUUCGCUCGAGGAGGGGGUCGCGGCCGAUUAGUUAGUUGGCGGGUAAUGGCCACCAAGACGAUGAUCGGUAU